GAUGAACGCUGGCGGCGUGCCUAAUACAUGCAAGUCGAGCGAACAGACGAGGAGCUUGCUCCUCUGACGUUAGCGGCGGACGGGUGAGUAACACGGGGAUAACCUACCUAUAAGACUGGGAUAACUUCGGGAAACCGGAGCUAAUACCGGAUAAUUUAUUGAACCGCAUGGAUCAAUCGUGAAAGACGGUUUUGCUGUCACUUAUGGAUGGAUCCGCGCCGCAUUAGCUAGUUGGUAAGGUAACGGCUUACCAAGGCAACGAUGGGAAGCCGCCCUGAGAGCGUGAUCGGUCAGACUGGAACAGAGACACGGUCCCGACUCUUGGGGGAGGCAGCAGUAGGGACUCCUCCGGGAGGGAGGAGAGGUUGAUGUAGCAACGUCGCGUGAGGGAUGAAGGUCUUCGGAUCGGUAAGCGCUGAUAUUAGUAAAGAAGAAAUGUUUAUGUAACUGUGCUCGUAAUGACGGUACCGAAUGAGAAAGCCCCGGCUAACUCCGUG
rnacentral:rRNA from 1 species